CCUGUACUGCAGAGCAAGAGCCUGUAUCAAAAAAAAACAACAACAACAAACCAAACCAAAAAAGAAGCUAUAAUUAUGUAUAAAAUGUGGAAAGGCAGGAUGGUGUGAAGAAGCCAUUUCAAGUUGGAGAAGAACUGAAAAUGAAGGCAAGGCCAUUGGAAUGAGCCCAGAAUUGAUAUAUUAUAGAGACUGACCCAUCUACCAUACAAGCUCUGGUAGCUCUUGCUAGUUAUUAAAAUAUUAUAUAUUAUA